UACGUAGGGUGCAAGCGUUGUCCGGAAUUAUUGGGCGUAAAGAGCUCGUAGGCGGCCUGUCGCGUCAAUUGUGAAAGCCCGGGGCUUAACCCCGGGUCUGCAGUCGAUACGGGCAGGCUAGAGUGUGGUAGGGGAGAUCGGAAUUCCUGGUGUAGCGGUGAAAUGCGCAGAUAUCAGGAGGAACACCGGCGGCGAAGGCGGGUCUCUGGGCCAUAACUGACGCUGAGGAGCGAAAGCGUGGGGAGCGAACAGG
rnacentral:rRNA from 1 species